CCACUUUUUUCCCUUGUUGUCCUGGUCGGACACCUUGUUGUUCAAUUGCCAGCAAAAAUUUUUAGGAGAAUGUUUGUGCUGCACCA
rnacentral:lncRNA from 1 species